rnacentral:rRNA from 1 species
AGGCAGCAGAAGGAAAGGCAAGGGCGCAAGCCGAACCAGCCACGCCGCGGAAGGAAGACGGCCCACGGGGAAUCCCAGGGAAAAACCCAGGACGGCCGAGCGAAGGACCGAGGAAAAGCACGGCAACCC